AUUAGUUAGUUGGUAAGGUAACGGCUUAUCAAGGCGUCGAUCCAUAGGGGAACUGAGAGGUUUAUCCCCCACACUGGUACUGAGACACGGACCAGACUCCUACGGGAGGCAGCAGUGAGGAAUAUUGGUCAAUGGGCGGGAGCCUGAACCAGCCAAAUCGCGUGAAGGAUGACGGUAUUAUGUAUUGUAAACUUCUUUUGUAAGGGAAUAAAGUGAGGGACGUGUCCUUUUUUGUAUGUACCUUACGAAUAAGCAUCGGCUAACUCCGUGCCAGCAGCCGCGGUAAUACGGAGGAUGCGAGCGUUAUCCGGAUUUAUUGGGUUUAAAGGGUGCGUAGGUGGGCCGGUCAGUCAGUGGUGAAAUCUCGGAGCUUAACUUCGAAACUGCCAUUGAAACUUCCGGUCUUGAGUGUGAACGAGGUAGGCGGAAUUCGUAGUGUAGCGGUGAAAUGCAUAGAUAUUACGAAGAACUCCGAUAGCGUAGGCAGCUUACCAGGCCACAACUGACACUGAGGCACGAAAGUGUGGGUAUCAAACAGGAUUAGAUACCCUGGUAGUCCACACAGUAAACUAUGAUAACUAACUGUUUGCGAUAUACAGUAAGCGGUACAGCGAAAGCGUUAAGUUAUCCACCUGGGGAGUA
rnacentral:rRNA from 1 species